rnacentral:rRNA from 1 species
AGUGAACGCUGGCGGUAGGCCUAACACAUGCAAGUCGAACGGCAGCACAGUAAGAGCUUGCUCUUACGGGUGGCGAGUGGCGGACGGGUGAGGAAUACAUCGGAAUCUACUUUUUCGUGGGGGAUAACGUAGGGAAACUUACGCUAAUACCGCAUACGACCUACGGGUGAAAGCAGGGGAUCUUCUGACCUUGCGCAAUUGAAUGAGCCGAUGUCGGAUUAGCUAGUUGGCGGGGUAAAGGCCCACCAAGGCGACGAUCCGUAGCUGGUCUGAGAGGAUGAUCAGCCACACUGGAACUGAGACACGGUCCAGACUCCUACGGGAGGCAGCAGUGGGGAAUAUUGGACAAUGGGCGCAAGCCUGAUCCAGCCAUACCGCGUGGGUGAAGAAGGCCUUCGGGUUGUAAAGCCCUUUUGUUGGGAAAGAAAAGCAGCAGGUUAAUACCCCGCUGUUCUGACGGUACCCAAAGAAUAAGCACCGGCUAACUUCGUG